rnacentral:rRNA from 1 species
UUAUGUUGUGUUCUUGAAACUUAAAGAAUUUGGCGGUAUCCUACUCCGUUCAGAGGAAUCUGUCUCGUUAUCGAUAGUCCGCGUUGGACCUUGCUUAGGGUUAAUUUUGGUUUGUAUACCGCCGUUUAUUGAUUAUCUUUUUAGAGUAUCUUGAAUUUUCUGGUUUCUUUAAUUUGAUUUAUUGCAGGUCAAGGUGCAGCUUUUUCUAAGUGUAAUGAUGGAUUACAGUGGUAUGUGUUGUUUGGAUUGUUUGUUUAAAUAUGGGCAUGAAAUUGGAUUUGGUUGUAAUGUUUUGUAGAUUGUUUUCAUGAUAGUUGGUUCUAGGAUAUGUACACAUCGCCCGUCGCUCUCAUUUAAGUUUUUGAUGAAAUAAGUCGUAACAUAGUAAUCCAGUGAUCAUGUUCUUGAUGAAAUCUCUAUGUCCGGGAGCGUCGAUGAUGGUGACAUAGUAUU